rnacentral:rRNA from 1 species
ACAUGCCUACAACAUAGUGUUAGUGCAUCGGAUCCCAUUAGAACUCUAUAGUUAAGCGCGCUCGGGCUAGAGUAGUAUUGGGAUUGGUGACCGCCUGGGAAGUCCUAGUAUUUUACAUGCC